rnacentral:rRNA from 1 species
AUUGAACGCUGGCGGCAUGCCUUACACAUGCAAGUCGAAUGGCAGCACGGGAGCAAUCCUGGUGGCGAGUGGCGAACGGGUGAGUAAAGUAUCGGAACGUGCCCAGUCGUGGGGGAUAACGUAGCGAAAGUUACGCUAAUACCGCAUACGGUCUAUGGAUGAAAGCGGGGGAUCGCAAGACCUCGCGCGAUUGGAGCGGCCGAUAUCAGAUUAGGUAGUUGGUGGGGUAAAGGCUCACCAAGCCGACGAUCUGUAGCUGGUCUGAGAGGACGACCAGCCAAACUGGGACUGAGACACGGCCCAGACUCCUACGGGAGGCAGCAGUGGGGAAUUUUGGACAACGGGCGAAAGCCUGAUCCAGCCAUGCCGCGUGAAGGAUGAAGGGGUUCGGGUUGUAAACUGCUUUUGUACGGAACGAAAAGGUUUGGGCUAAUAAGCUGAGCUCAUGACGGUACCGUAAGAAUAAGCACCGGCUAACUACGUGCCAGCCGCCGCGGUAA